GGUGCUUUCCGAUCUGGAAACGAGAAGAAAAGUGUAGACAAGCGCGGAAAGUGGCAGCUGAAGAGAACGGGGCUAUUAUAAUCUGCGAUAACAAUCUGUCGCCUGUCUCAGCUUUCAGCAUAGUGUGACAACUUCACCGGUGUUAAUGAUAACGUUCGUUCCACGCGCGCGACUUUUAGUUCUUCCAACAAAACAACUAAACAUCUUUAUGAUUUCGUACAAUCUCCUCCCUGUUGCCUCUUUUGCGGCGCAAUCUGUUUCGAAGAAGGAAAUAAUAAUAAUGUUCCUCUCUCUCUCUCUCUCUCUCUCUCUCUCUCUCUCUCUCUCUCAUAUAGACACAGAGACACACAGGUCGUGGCUCGCCCAAUACUGAAACAAAGUAUUCGGUGCUCGGGUUUUUUAACGGCCCGAUCUUUCCGUUAGCGCCAGCUGAAAUUGCAUCGCGAACGAGGAGGAAGCACGCCUUUUAAUCGCGAUCGCAAGCAAGCGGCGCUGCACGCUGAUGUUCCAUUAGGAAAUAGAAGCCGGAGGUUCGUCGGUCUCUCGUGGUAUUCCGGAAGAAAGAAUAAUGCCUCGACCUCGAUCUUCUACGCGUCUCGAAGGUGUUGCUUCAAGUUCUUUGACGCAAAGGCGAGGCUUUGGCGCGAGACUAUAAAGGGUGUAUCAGAAAUCGCACGUUCUCCGCCGAGUUUUCAAAGAGUUCGGGGCUUGAUCUAUUUAUGAGAGAUGACACGCGAUCGCGUACAUUUGAAAAUUACGCUCAAUCCUGUCGAUUUCCGUGCUACCUAUUCUCGUGGCAAAGUAAACAUUUCGCCUUUUUUGUUGCACGACGUUCUCUCGUCUGUCAAGUUGUUGCCCAAAUUUCGUUCGUCAUCUUCGGCUCGCUUGUAUUGUCUGUCGCUUGUGUUGUGGUCGUUUAAACAUUCGCCCCUCCUCCCGAGUAAAUUGCUGUUGAAAGGGGAAUCAGCGAAGCAAUUCGCAAAUGGGAGAGAGAGAGAGAGAGAGAGAGAGAGAGGAGAGAGAGAGAGAGAGAGAGAGAGAGAGAGCACGGGGACUUCCGAUGCACCGUGUAUAUCGACAAGAAAUACCUGGCCAGCGACUAUGUGUUAUACUCUACCGAAUUAGGUUGUACAUACAUCUACCGUUUUCUCUUAAGAGACAUCUCCGACCUAACCGUACCGUCGCUGCGCGCCAAUAUAUGUAUAUACAUAGUCCGCCUCAUCGUCAGGUAUGGCGCGCGUUAGAAGUAAUUCGAUCGACAUGUCCCAUUUAUGUCUACUCGCGAGCAAAAUGUAAUAAAAGCCGCAGCGGUAAUAGCGAGUGCCACCUGUUUCACCCCGUUGAAACGGGAAGGUGUGCGCGACGAUUGAUACAACAUUCCUUCUAUGUACAAUUGGGAUCCUUCUUUCCUGCGAGAAGGAGCGCGGAGGUCAUGACGACGGCGGUGGCUUUAGGGGUGGGAGUGACAUGAAACGACGACAACAACAUACAAGCGCGAUUAUUUCAAAGCCUUUGGCCAACUUAAUCCAAGCAUUUGCUCACAAUUUCAACUCUAUAAUCAAUAUAGUUGAUUACAUUAACGAAGUUAAAUGUUAAUUAACUCCGCAGUGGGAACGAAAUUUCUCUCCUAGGCGAGCGGGAAUGUACGGGGCGUGGUGCACCGCCGGUGCGGUGAAGAGAGAGAGAGAGAGAGAGAGAGAGAGAGAGAGAGAGCACGCAGACGAAUCUUGUUUUCGACUUUAAUUUUCGCUUCUGAUUACUCUCCUUGUUCCUCGUAUUUUAAUUUUUAUUUCGCGAGCAUAUCUAGUUAAACUCGCGCGCACGCGCGCGCACGCGCGCGCACGCUCUCCGACUCGACAGAGAAAGACGAAUGUUUAACGUCCGAGAAGUAACACACUUUAUUAUUACAUACCUUCGUAACCUUUUCGAGCGCAAAACAAAGAAGUGCUCUCUCUCUCUCUCUCUCUCUCU